CGCAGCCGCGGUAAUUCCAACUCCAAUAGCGUAUAUUAAAGUUGUUGCAGUUAAAAAGCUCGUAGUUGAACUUCGGGGUUCACCCAUUGGUCAGGCUUAAUUGUCUGUACUGGUGAGAUAAAUCUCUACCUUCUGAGGAACUUUCAUGCCAUUUAUUUGGCGUGAUUGGAAAUCAGGACUAUUACUUUGAAAAAUUAGAGUGUUUAAAGCAGGCUAAAGUCUGAAUACAUUAGCAUGGAAUAAUGAAAUAGGACGGAUUGAUUCUAUUUCGUUGGUUUCUAGGAUCACCGUAAUGAUUAAUAGGGAUAGUUGGGGGCAUUAGUAUUCAAUUGUCAGAGGUGAAAUUCUUGGAUUUAUUGAAGACUAACUACUGCGAAAGCAUUUGCCAAGGAUGUUUUCAUUAAUCAAGAACGAAAGUUAGGGGAUCGAAGACGAUCAGAUACCGUCGUAGUCUUAACCAUAAACUAUGCCGACUAG
rnacentral:sRNA from 1 species